rnacentral:misc_RNA from 1 species
GAUGAAGAACGUAGUGAAAUGCGAUAAGUAGUGUGAAUUGCAGAAUUCAGUGAAUCAUCGAAUCUUUGAACGCACAUUGCGCCCCUUGGUAUUCCAUGGGGCAUGCCUGUUCGAGCGUCAUUUGUACCUUCAAGCUUUGCUUGGUGUUGGGUGUUUGUCCCUCGGGACUCGCCUUAAAGUCAUUGGCAGCCAGUGUUUUGGUUUUGAAGCGCAGCACAAGUCGCGAUUCAAGGCUAUCCGCCCGCUUCCACAAGCCUUUUUCACUUUUGACCUCGGAUCAGGUAGGGAUACCCGCUGAACUUAAGCAUAUCAAUAAGCGGAGA